UGGGGAAUAUUGCGCAAUGGGCGAAAGCCUGACGCAGCAACGCCGCGUGAGUGAUGAAGGCCUUCGGGUCGUAAAGCUCUGUCGGAGGGAACGAAUGCUCUUGAGGUUAACAGCCUCAGGAAAUGACGGUACCCUCAAAGGAAGCACCGGCUAACUCUGUGCCAGCAGCCGCGGUAAUACGUAGGGACCAAGCGUUGUUCGGAUUUACUGGGCGUAAAGGGCGCGUAGGCGGUGUGUCAAGUCAGUUGUGAAAUCUCCGAGCUUAACUCGGAACGGUCAGAUGAUACUGCUUUGCUAGAGUGCAGAAGGGGCAAUCGGAAUUCUUGGUGUAGCGGUGAAAUGCGUAGAUAUCAAGAGGAACACCUGAGGUGAAGACGGGUUGCUGGGCUGACACUGACGCUGAGGCGCGAAAGCCAGGGGAGCAAACGGGAUUAGAUACCCCCGUAGUCCCUGAGCGGGCUGGCAAGGCGCAU
rnacentral:rRNA from 1 species